UACAGAGGUCUCAAGCGUUGUUCGGAUUCAUUGGGCGUAAAGGGUGCGUAGGUGGCGCCGUAAGUCGGGUGUGAAAUUUCGGAGCUUAACUCCGAAACUGCAUUCGAUACUGCGGUGCUUGAGGACUGGAGAGGAGACUGGAAUUCAUGGUGUAGCAGUGAAAUGCGUAGAGAUCAUGAGGAAGACCAGUGGCGAAGGCGGGUCUCUGGACAGUUCCUGACGCUGAGGCACGAAGGCCAGGGGAGCAAAACGGG
rnacentral:rRNA from 1 species